CUUUUGUAAUUUAUAAAAAAAUACUACUUUUUCACUGUAGAAAAGAGUUUCAUCCAAAAGAAAUA
rnacentral:tRNA from 1 species